GACAGAGGGUGCAAACGUUGUUCGGAAUUACUGGGCGUAAAGCGAGUGUAGGCGGUUUCCUAAGUCGGAUGUGAAAGCCCCGGGCUCAACCCGGGAAGUGCAUUCGAAACUGGGAGGCUAGAGUGUCGGAGAGGUUGGUGGAAUUCUCGGUGUAGAGGUGAAAUUCGUAGAUAUCGAGAGGAACACCGGUGGCGAAGGCGGCCAACUGGACGAACACUGACGCUGAGGAGCGAAAGCCAGGGGAGCAAACGGG
rnacentral:rRNA from 1 species